rnacentral:rRNA from 1 species
GGCGGCGUGCCUAACACAUGCAAGUCGAGCGGGGUUACUGCUGUAGCAAUACAGUGUGUGCCCAGCGGCAGACGGGUGAGUAACACGUAGACAACUUUCCUUUUAGAGGGGGAUAGCCCGCCGAAAGGCGGGGUAAUACCGCGUAAGAUCCUUGAUUGACAUCGGUCGAGGAUGAAACAUCCGCAAGGAUGGCUAAAAGAAAGGUCUGCGGCCUAUCAGCUAGUUGGUGAGGUAACGGCUCACCAAGGCUACGACGGGUAACCGGCCUGAAAGGGCGAACGGUCACACUGACACUGAGACACGGGUCAGACACCUACGGGUGGCAGCAGUGAGGAAUUUUGGACAAUGGGGGAAACCCUGAUCCAGCGACGCCGCGUGGAGGACGAAGGUCUUCGGAUUGUAAACUCCUUUUAUUCGGGAAUAAGAAAUCUUCAGAAAUGGAGAGAGUGAAUGUNCCGGAUGAAUAAGCCACGGCUAACUUCGUGCCAGCAGCCGCGGUAAUACGAAGGUGGCAAGCGCUACUC